AUAUGUAUCUGGCAGGGGAGACACCAUGAUCAGGCAGGUGGUUCUCCCAGGGCGAGCCCCCGGCCAUUGCACUGCGGCUGUGCUGACCCCUGUGACUUCUCCAAAUGUGGGAAACUCCACUGCAGAAUUUGUGGUAGUGGGGGACUGCGUGCGCGCUCUCCCCUG